CCUACGGGAGGCAGCAGUGGGGAAUUUUGGACAAUGGGCGAAAGCCUGAUCCAGCAAUGCCGCGUGUGUGAAGAAGGCCUUCGGGUUGUAAAGCACUUUUGUCCGGAAAGAAAUCCGUCUGGCUAAUACCUGGACGGGAUGACGGUACCGGAAGAAUAAGCACCGGCUAACUACGUGCCAGCAGCCGCGGUAAUACGUAGGGUGCGAGCGUUAAUCGGAAUUACUGGGCGUAAAGCGUGCGCAGGCGGUUAUGCAAGACAGGUGUGAAAUCCCCGGGCUCAACCUGGGAACUGCACUUGUGACUGCAUGACUAGAGUGCGUCAGAGGGAGGUGGAAUUCCGCGUGUAGCAGUGAAAUGCGUAGAGAUGCGGAGGAACACCGAUGGCGAAGGCAGCCUCCUGGGAUGACACUGACGCUCAUGCACGAAAGCGUGGGGAGCAAACAGGAUUAGAUACCCUGGUAGUCCACGCCCUAAACGAUGUCAAGGAGUUGUCGGGGAUUCAUUUCCUUGGUAACGCAGCUAACGCGUAAGUGUCCGCCUGGAGUCGCAUG
rnacentral:rRNA from 1 species